CGUCCCGCCGCCCGGCCCCGAGCCGGGCAGCAGCCACGGUCCCCGCCGCCCCGAGGGCGCUCCGGGCAGCGCGCGCGGCGGCUCUCCGGCCAGGUGCCGGUGCGAGGCUGCAGCGCGGGCGCGCGCCGGCCCGCAGGUGUUCCUCUGAUCAACGCAUGGUGACUUCGCUCUUCUGCCUGAGAGUGGUUCAAAAUAAUGUUUAAAGUCACGUGGACUUGCUUCACAUAAUAACAUGCAUUUUCCAACUGGAGACUGAUUCGUGUCCACUCAGAGACGGCCUCAAAAGGAGGAGCGAGCAGGACUGAGAAGGUCUCAGAAUGAAGAAUGAAACGGAAUAUCCUCUUUUGUGUCCAGCCAGGACAAGGUCAGGAUGAGUCCAGUCAUGCCUACAGCCCCCCCGCCCUUGUCCUCAUGCAGAAGCGGCGUGACCCCAUGACCCUUGGCCUCCUGGAAAGUACCUGACCCGAAGGGUGGG